AUGGACCCCAUCAGCAUAGAGAAGAUCAGGGCCAUGAGGAAGUACAGGAGGAACAGGAAGCAGCAGCAGCUGCUGCUGCUCCCUGCCCUCGCACCGUACCUGGUGGCCACCUGUGCCGUCCUCUGCCUGCUGCUCACCAGCCCUGCCUGGUUCCCCGGGGUGUGCUCGCUCCUCGUCUCCUUCCUCCUCACCACCCUCCCUGACCUGGCCAUCGCCUUCCUGCUCAGCCCCAAGUGCCUCUUCGUCGUCGGCAACCUCAUCGUCGCCUUCCUCAUCGCCCAGUCUAGGCUAGCUCCGAAGAGCCAGCCCGCUUCCGUUGUGGAUGUCAACGACGUCCACGAGGAGUACGUGAAGAGGAGCGUCGCGCCGAUGACCGCUAAGGCGACAGCUACCACGGUGGUGUUCACCGAUCAUGGCGCCUCGGUAGAAGGAGUUUGGGAGGGAGAGAAGGAGAAGGAGGAGGAGGAGGUGGUGGAGCAGGGAGAGGAGGAGCUGGAGAAGAGGGUGGACGACUUCAUCGCUAGGGUGAAGAGGCAGAGGAAGCUCGAAGGCAAGAGCUUCUUCGACACCGAUCGAUAG
rnacentral:rRNA from 1 species